AACAUCAUUGUGGCAGAAUACCAGCAUAUACAUGUAAUGUAUCGGGACCUUCACAGGAUAACUUCUUGAGAUGACUGCAAGGCGCAACGUUGCAAAGCUCAUUUCUACAACCUUAAUCACCAAUGACAGGGCAUCACCAUAUCCCUUUGCUGACCAGUUAAAACAGACUACCGCCCUCGAGUCAAAAGGCUGUCCUCAUCGUCCAACACACAGCCGUAACAUCACCCCAGGACUUCAGCCCUCCGGUGAUAUCAUCCUGUCUUUAGAUAAGGGACGACUGCUCUACCCUCCUUAUUUGUACAGCAGUUUGGCAUUUCUUGUCUACUGGAUCAGACGCCCCAUCUGCAGUCCCACUGCAAUCGUUUCAGUCAGGACUGACACUGGCGCAGUCAGCUUCUUAAAACGUGAUGGCCGGUCACAGACCCUGCCAUUCCUACGUCGCAAAGAUUUAGCGUCAUCCUGGUCAGCAAUCCUGCCUUUGUCAACAAUCGUGACGAUAACUAUGCCUAGCCUCUUGACCAAGACUUUUUGAAUGCCACUCUGUAUGGCUAAGCAUACUUUUUUUUUCUUUAUUCAUACUAACAUGUGUUCAUGUCCAUUUUUCCACCUCUGAUUCUUACAUUUAUUUUCUGAUACCACGUUGCUGUGCGAUUUCAGUCUUAUUUUUACUGGUAUGACAAUGUAAACAUAUACUUUUGUUCCACACAAGAUAUUUUUGGAUUUUGUGUCCACUUCCAUGUAAAUACAUGUAUUUUUAUACGAUAAUUUUUGUUUGUGAUGGUUCAAUUCCUUUUUUGCUCUCAUCCCUUUCUUGUUGUAUCUUAUUUCAGGUGAUAGCAUGGAACAGCUUGUGGAAAGGCAUAUUUUGAUUUGUUGCCUGUUGGGAAGAAAGUUUUCUUUUUUUGUUUCACCUAAAUACUUAUGUUUUCUGCAAAGAGGAAUUUCAUUUUUGGUUAAUAAUGUUUUCUUUUUUGCGAACAUCUGAUCUUGGUUUUUAACACAUUCCUAGGUGUGCCAUUUACACUGCUAUUGUAAUCAUAGUUUUGUGACAGAUCAAAACUCAAUUGUUUAAUCAAGGCUUCCAAAUAUAUUCAUUUUUUAUGAUUAUAAUGUCAGUUUAUUUGCAGCAUUUACCCUAUAUAUAGUGGUAACGUACGAUCAACUGUCAAUUUCUACUACAUUCAUUAUACAUAGCAUUGUGUUGCUUGUUGUAACAAAAAGGUAUAGGGCUGUUAGGGAUUAUCCAUAAUAUACAUUGUUUUUAGUUUUGUUGUGAAUAUCUGAGCUUAUAUCUCACUUGCUAUGCAGGGGGCCUAUCAUAUAGACAGUAGGUAUCUUUGUUUAUGUACCUGUGUUAUAUAUGUAUUCCAUUUCUGUUAGACAUAUAUAUACAUGUUAGAAUGCCCUUUUCAGAGAUUUGUACAAGACCUUUUUUUUUAGUAUGUGCUUUUAUUUAGUAUAUCAAAUUUUAUUGGAUAUGCUGUUUUUUAAAUUUAUUUCUUUUAAAAUGUGUUUGAACAUGAUAGGCGAUUACCAUUUGUAAUAUUGUAUUGCUGUUGUUUUUUACAUAGCCUAGGAAGUAGCGUGAUGUUAAGUUUGGUGCAGAAUGUCAUUUACAUGCAUGAAGAUAGGUCUAUGCAAUUUAGCUUUGACUUUGGUUUGAUAAGCUUUGUUUAGUGCUUUGAACAUGAUGUUAACAAUUAAUAGA